rnacentral:tRNA from 1 species
UUAGAUUGAAGCCAAAAUUAGAGGCAUUUCAUUGUUAAUGGAAUAAUUGAUUAAUAAUAAUCCAACUAAA